rnacentral:rRNA from 1 species
CUCGUAGGUGGCCAACUAAGUCAGACGUGAAAUCCCUCAGCUUAACUGGGGAACUGCGUCUGAUACUGGAUGGCUUGAGUUUGGGAGAGGGAUGCGGAAUUCCAGGUGUAGCGGUGAAAUGCGUAGAUAUCUGGAGGAACACCGGUGGCGAAGGCGGCAUCCUGGACCAAUACUGACACUGAGGAGCGAAAGCCCAAGGGGGAGCAAAACGG